rnacentral:rRNA from 1 species
AUUGAACGCUGGCGGCAUGCUUUACACAUGCAAGUCGAACGGCAGCGCGGGCUUCGGCCUGGCGGCGCGUGGCGAACGGGUGAGUAAUGCAUCGGAACGUGCCCAGUAGUGGGGGAUAGCCCGGCGAAAGCCGGAUUAAUACCGCAUACGACCUGAGGGUGAAAGCGGGGGACCGAAAGGCCUCGCGCUAUUGGAGCGGCCGAUGUCGGAUUAGCUAGUUGGUGGGGUAAAGGCUUACCAAGGCGACGAUCCGUAGCUGGUCUGAGAGGACGACCAGCCACACGGGAACUUGAACACCGCCCAGGCUCCUACGGGAGGCAGCAGUCGGGAAUUGUGGGCAAUGGGGGCAACCCUGGUCCAACCGUGCCGCGUGCGGGAAGAAGGCCUUCGGGGUGUAAACCGCUUUUGUUCGGGAAGAAAUCCUCUGGGCUAAUACCCCGGGGGGAUGACGGUACCGGAAGAAUAAGCACCGGCUAACUACGUG